rnacentral:rRNA from 1 species
GGGUCAGUAGGUUGGUCGUGCCACCGGUACGUACUGGUCUCAAUGACUCCUCCUUCCUGAAGAACCGUAAUGCCAUUAAUUUGGUGUUGCGGGGAAACAGGACUGUUACUUUGAAAAAAUUAGAGUGUUUAAAGCAAGCUAACGCUUGAAUACAUUAGCAUGGAAUAAUGAAAUAGGACGAUCGAUCCUAUUUUGUUGGUUUCUAGGAUUGACGUA